GACGAACGCUGGCGGCGUGCCUAAUACAUGCAAGUCGUGCGGACCUUGUUGAAAGCUUGCUUUUAAAAGGUUAGCGGCGGAUGGGUGAGUAACACGUGGGCAACCUGCCUGUAAGACUGGGAUAACGCCGGGAAACCGGGGCUAAUACCAGAUCGUUUUUUCCUCCGCAUGGAGGAAAAAGGAAAGGCGGCUUCGGCUGCCACUUACAGAUGGGCCCGCGGCGCAUUAGCUAGUUGGCGGGGUAAUGGCCCACCAAGGCAACGAUGCGUAGCCGACCUGAGAGGGUGAUCGGCCACAUUGGGACUGAGACACGGCCCAAACUCCUACGGGAGGCAGCAGUAGGGAAUCUUCCGCAAUGGACGAAAGUCUGACGGAGCAACGCCGCGUGAGUGAAGAAGGCCUUCGGGUCGUAAAACUCUGUUGCCGGGGAAGAACAAGUGCCGUUCGAACAGGGCGGCGCCUUGACGGUACCCGGCCAGAAAGCCACGGCUAACUACGUG
rnacentral:rRNA from 1 species